rnacentral:lncRNA from 1 species
ACGCAAGCAGCUGCCCCCAACUGCACGCUUCCCACCCGCAUGCAUGCACGCACACGUGGGGCACACGAAGCCAAUUCCCUCAACUGCUCAUUUGUGUUACAGUUCAUGCAACGGCACGUGCCGCGCGUCCAGUGUAAACGAGAACACCGUACGUGCCCUACCGUAACAUGAAUACAGAUGCGUAUGUAGCCGCUUCCGGGUAACAACCAAAUGCCACCCGCCAAGGCAUAAGCGGCAGAGGUGUGCCCAUACUAAAGUCUUGCCAAACACACAACGACAACCACAACGUCCGACCUACCUGCUGCACAGUGCUACCGCAGACUCUGCAUGCUGCCGGUGCCGGCACUCCAGUCCGUAGCUAGCCACAGAUGUGCAUGUAGCCACUUCCGCGGAACAACCAAACGCCACCCGCCAAGGCAUAAGCGGCAGAGGUGUGCCCAUACUAAGUCUUGCCAAACACACAACGACCUCAACCACAACGUCCGACCUGCUGCACAGUGCCACCGCAGACUCCGCAUGCUGCCGGUGCCAGCGCUCCAGUCCACAGCUAGCCACACCCGUGCUGCCCUUCGUAAGCCUGCAUAGUGUUCAGGACGAUUCGGUCAGGAACCAAACCACAAAACCAGGCAUAUCAGAGGGUAAGACGCAAGGUACCUUUCCCCCCAUGUUCAGUUGCAGACACGCUACUCAUGCAGUGCUUACUUCAGCAAUUGCGAAAUAAUAUCUGGACAUAGACUUGCCUGUUGGGGUUAACGUGUGAGUGCGCCACGUCUAGCCCACCCAGGGGUGGUCCGCACGGGUGGCCCUUCGUGCGGCCGGAGUCCUGAGGGAGGGCGGGAGGGUACCAGGACUGAGAACUGAGCAUGAACUGAUGACAGGCGUGUACGGUGCCAUUAUACAGACACCUUAGCAUGCGCAUGCUCUCAGCUGACAGCCUCGGGAGCUAGCAACCAAGUCGCGCGGAUGGCCGCACCCCCGCCUCACCUGCGCCACGCGUGAUGGCUCUGUAGCCUUUUGAAAUGCUUUUGUUGAGCCUGAACCUGAACGAAUUGAAGGUGGGCGAUAAAUAUUGCGCUCGGUCAACGACGUCACCACCCCUGCAACAACCCAGCGUUAUGGCCGCUGCAAGGCGCACCUGUGCGCCACAUAGCGUUACUAGUGGAGACUGGGCCUUAAAAGCAAACAUAGCAGGGCGAGGGCGUCCUCUGCCGAGUGGCAGAGAACUGUUUGCGGGUCUCUACAUACUGACACCUUGACGUGUCUGUAAUCUUUAGUAAUGUGUGAUAUGCAUAGAAGGAUACAGUAUAUAUAAAUUGAACUGGCAAAGAAGGAAGUGCCGCAAAGAGUUUGGAAGCAGUGCCCCAUGCAACACUUAAACUUGGUUGGCCGCAUACUUGAUACUUGCUUGUCUUGCCAUGUGCGGUGUUGAAAGGGGGAUUAAUAUGAACGCACACGGGGCCUUCUCUGCGCAAGCG